GCUCAGGAUGAACGCUAGCGGCAGGCCUAAUACAUGCAAGUCGAACGAUAUUUUCCAGCUUGCUGGAAGAGAAAGUGGCGCACGGGUGCGUAACGCGUAUGCAACCUACCUUCAUCAGGGGGAUAGCCCGGAGAAAUCCGGAUUAAUACCGCAUAAAAUCACAGGAUGGCAUUAUCCAAUGAUCAAACAUUUAUGGGAUGGAGAUGGGCAUGCGUGUCAUUAGCUAGUUGGCGGGGUAACGGCCCACCAAGGCGACGAUGACUAGGGGAUCUGAGAGGAUGGCCCCCCACACUGGUACUGAGACACGGACCAGACUCCUACGGGAGGCAGCAGUAAGGAAUAUUGGUCAAUGGAGGCAACUCUGAACCAGCCAUGCCGCGUGCAGGAAGACUGCCCUAUGGGUUGUAAACUGCUUUUAUCCGGGAAUAAACCUCAUUACGUGUAAUGAGCUGAAUGUACCGGAAGAAUAAGGAUCGGCUAACUCCGUGCC
rnacentral:rRNA from 3 species